UGCCAGCAGCCGCGGUAAUACGAAGGGACCUAGCGUAGUUCGGAAUUACUGGGCUUAAAGAGUUCGUAGGUGGUUGAAAAAGUUAGUGGUGAAAUCCCAGAGCUUAACUCUGGAACUGCCAUUAAAACUUUUCAGCUAGAGUAUGAUAGAGGAAAGCAGAAUUUCUAGUGUGGAGGUGAAAUGCGUAGAUAUUCGGAGGAACACCAAUUGCGAAGGCAGUUCACUGGACCGUGAUCGACGCUGAGGAGCGAAAGCUAGGGGAGCAAACAGGAUUAGAUA
rnacentral:rRNA from 1 species